rnacentral:lncRNA from 1 species
UUCCAUGUGAGAAAAGAAAGGAAAACAAGAUUAGCGUACACCAUAUGCUUAUAGGGAAGACACGAGUAAUAAUUGAAAUGAAGUAAUAGAAGGAACAUCAAGUCUAUGGAAAAAUGAAAAUGCACUGCCAAGCAUAUUUUAAAUAAAAAUAAAAAGAAAAUAAAUAAAUAAAAAAUACACAUAAAAAAUGAAAGUUAACAGAGAGCAUUAAAACCAUCAAUUCUCAUGGACUGGUCUUAAUAAGAGCCGAUACUACAACGAGAUUGAGAUUUAAGGAGGUUACAUGCUAUCGAUCCAAAUCAUGCAUAUGUCAGGCAAUAGUUAUUUUUUUCCAGAUUCGGUUUCAAUAUCCUAUUGCCAAAAAUUUCAUUCAAAAGCUAAAUAAAAAUCACUAUGAAAAANNNN